rnacentral:rRNA from 1 species
AUUGAACGCUGGCGGCAGGCCUAACACAUGCAAGUCGAACGAGUCGCACAGGGGAGAGUAAUGUCUGGGACACUGCCAGAGAGAGGGGGAACACUACGGGACACGGUAGCAUAUACCGCAAACCAGCGUAUGCGCCCAGGUGGGAUUAGCUAGUAGGUGGGGUAACGGCUCACCUAGGCGACGAUCCCUAGCUGGUCUGAGAGGAUGACCAGCCACACUGGAACUGAGACACGGUCCAGACUCCUACGGGAGGCAGCAGUGGGGAAUAUUGCACAAUGGGCGCAAGCCUGAUGCAGCCAUGCCGCGUGUAUGAAGAAGGCCUUCGGGUUGUAAAGUACUUUCAGCGAGGAGGCGUUACUCGCAGAAGAAGCACCGGCUAACUCCGUGCCAGCCGCCGCGGUAAUAC